GAGUUCUAAGAUUCCUCAGCUGUGGCCUGGAUGAAAAUGCCCUUUCACAUGUGUGUAACAAACUACGUAUAGUUUUCAUUUCACAUGCUCUGUCCAGGACCACCAGAACAAUGUGGAACGGACACAGUGGUAGUGGUUAUAAAAGGCGUCACCAUUAGGGAAAGAUGGGUUCCAGUCUAUUCUUUUGUGCACCUUCUUGCUUUCAUGGAUGCCUCAGGCUGCUCAACCAUAUGUAUGUGCCUGUGAAAUCUUUGCCCUGAAGAGAUCCGCCACAAUGAAUGGAGAAGACAUCCAAGCACCAGUGGGUAUUUUAUGUUGCCAGAGGUCUCUGAGGCAGAGAGAAUGAGCAUGCUUUCCUGUGCCUUUGUGCAGGGGAAAGCGGUAAGAGGAAAAGUAAACACGGGAACAGCAUUGUGUUCUGAGAUAGUCGCUGCCCCUCUGAUCUCAAGCCUUUUCCGUACAAAGCAGGCGCUAACCUAAUCUUUGUUUCUUCAAUCGUCCACCAAGGUUUUUUGAAUUUUUCCUUUUCUUCCUAUAGACACUCUCUCCUUAGGUUCCUAGGAAGCAGGCUGCUUGGUGGAAGAAAAGUGAGUCAUUUCCUCCUGUAGGGAGCAUUUCAAAUAAAUUAUUAUUUUUUUUAGUGCUGUCAUUUACUUCAUUAAACAUUGAUUUUGUCUAAGUUAAUAUUAGGAAAAAGAACUCUACUUGUUUUC
rnacentral:lncRNA from 1 species